rnacentral:rRNA from 1 species
GACGAACGCUGGCGGCGUGCUUAACACAUGCAAGUCGAACGGAAAGGCCCUGCGUUUGUGGGGUGCUCGAUUGGCGAACGGGUGAGUAACACGUGAGUAACCUGCCCUUGACUUUGGGAUAACUUCAGGAAACAGGGGCUAAUACCGGAUAGGAGCUCCUGCUGCAUGGUGGGGGUUGGAAAGUUUCGGCGGGUGGGGAUGGACUCGCGGCUUAUCAGCUUGUUGGUGGGGUAGUGGCUUACCAAGGCUUUGACGGGUAGCCGGCCUGAGAGGGUGACCGGCCACCUUGGGACUGAGAUACGGCCCAGACUCCUACGGGAGGCAGCAGUGGGGAAUAUUGCACAAUGGGCGGAAGCCUGAUGCAGCAACGCCGCGUGCGGGAUGACGGCCUUCGGGUUGUAAACCGCUUUCGCCUGUGACGAAGCGUGAGUGACGGUAAUGGGUAAAGAAGCACCGGCUAACUACGUG